rnacentral:piRNA from 2 species
UACAAACCAGACUGGCUGGGCUU